rnacentral:rRNA from 1 species
CUCUGUGACUCCUACGGGAGGCAGCAGUGGGGAAUAUUGCACAAUGGGCGCAAGCCUGAUGCAGCAACGCCGUGUGAGUGAAGAAGGUUUUCGGAUCGUAAAACUCUGUCCUAAGGGAAGAAACAAAUGACGGUACCUUAGGAGGAAGCCCCGGCUAACUACGUGCCAGCAGCCGCGGUAAUACGUAGGGGGCAAGCGUUAUCCGGAAUCACUGGGCGUAAAGGGUGCGUAGGCGGCUUAGCAAGCCAGGGGUGAAAGGCAUUGGCUCAACCAAUGUAAGCCUUUGGAACUGUUAAGCUUGAGUGCAGGAGAGGUAAGUGGAAUUCCUAGUGUAGAGGUGAAAAUUCGUAGAUAUUAGGAGGAACACCAGUGGCGAAGGCGACUUACUGGACUGUAACUGACGCUGAUGCACGAAAGCGUGGGUAGCGAACAGGAUUAGAUACCCUGUAG